AACGAACGUUAGCGGCGCGCCUAACACAUGCAAGUCGAACGCGACUGGGGGCAACUCCAGUUGAGUGGCGCACGGGUGAGUAACACGUAGGUAAUCUCCCCUCGAGUGGUGGAUAACCUUCCGAACGGAGGGCUAAUACAGCAUAAGACCACGGCCUCGAAAGAGGCUGAGAUCCAAGCGGAGGAUCGCAAGACUUCGCGCUUGAGGAUGCGCCUGCGGCCCAUCAGGUAGUUGGCGGAGUAACAGCCCACCAAGCCUAAGACGGGUAGCUGGUCUGAGAGGAUGAUCAGCCACACUGGAACUGAGACACGGUCCAGACUCCUACGGGAGGCAGCAGUGGGGAAUCUUGCGCAAUGGACGAAAGUCUGACGCAGCGACGCCGCGUGGGUGAUGAAGGCCUUCGGGUUGUAAAGCCCUGUGGGGAGGGACGAAUAAGUUGCAGCUAAUACCCGCAGCGAUGACGGUACCUCCUUAGCAAGCACCGGCUAACUCUGUGCCAGCAGCCGCAGUAA
rnacentral:rRNA from 1 species